CCAACAGAAAAGCAGCCAUUAUGAAAAUGUGUUUUUAUGUUUUUUUCCAUGCAGCUCUGACUAGGUUGGAAAAGGAUGAGAAGAAGAUGCGGUUUGGAGGAUCGUGCGCGCAGUCCUCUGAAACCGCAGAGGGCUUUAAGCUGAGAUACGGAGCCAAACUUUCUGAAAAAUCCUGAGACGGAAGAUAACAGCGAGGAGAGAAAAAUGCCAGAGAGGUCGAGGAGUUCUCUCCCUGUCCGUUUUCCAUAAAAGCACAAAGCUGAAGAGGGAAAAACGAGGAGGGGGGGGGGCCUUCAAAUCUCACAUUUGCCCAACCUGCUGCGACUGACUUGAUCAGAUUAUAGGAGAUGGACACACCUGAUCCAGAACAAAGCUGCAAACUCAGUGAACUGCCCCGCCCACUUCACUGACAAAGUGGCCCCAACAUUGGCGGUAAAUCCCGGGUCGCAGAGAGGGGGACCUCUGGGGAGUGGGCUAUGUUUGUGUGAGAGGAAAGCGGGCUGCGUUUCCAUGGCAAUCAGCUGUUCUGUUUGUCCUGGCAACCGCCUUUGAAGUGAGACACUUCUUUUAACUUCAAGAGUCAAUCAAAGAUGUAAAGAUGGCUGCAUCCAUACAUUCACAGAUCGGGGAGGGGGGGGAGCUAAAAUAAACCAACACAUGAAAGCAACUCCCUCCUCGUUCCUGUCAGGACGUUUGUGUGGGUGUGUUUGUGUGUAAACCAAACACAUCCGGUCACACUGGUUGGAAUGAAGCUCCCCCCCCCGCCGUGCAUGGAGGAGACCUUCCUGUACCGACCGGUGUGACGACUGACAUUAAUGGGCUUAAGCUGACAAACAGCAGG